rnacentral:lncRNA from 1 species
UUAACUUGUUAAAUCAUAAAAAAAAUUCUUUCCAAAAAAGUAUACUGGAAACAUGUGGAUGUGGGUUAUAAUUAAAAAGGAAAGCAAAACAGCCUUCCCCAAACCAAUGAAACUCUCAACUUGAAAGCUACAGCUGCGCCCAGGAGAGUAACAAUGGGGGUAUGCUGAGAAGUCUUGAAAUGUGGACACUAUCACUGACCAUCUGG